UCAUUUUAUGUCAUUGAAAACUUGCUUUAUGAAUCUGGGUGCUUGUUUGUUGGGUGCGUAUAUAUUUAGGAUAUUUAGGACUUCUUGUUGGAUUGAACCCUUUACCCUUAUGCAAUGCCUUUCUUUGUCUUUUUGAUCUAUGCUGGUUUAAAGUCUGCUCUGUUUGAAAUUAUAGAAUGGCAACACUGCUUGUUUCUGUUUUCCAUUUGCUUGGUAGAUUUUUCUCUAUUCCUUUUCUUUAAGCUUAUGGGAGUCAUUGCAUGUGGGAUGGGUCUCAGGCUCUUGAAGACAGCAUACCACUGGUCUUGCUCCACUGUUCAACCUACCCCUCUGUGCCUUUUAAUUGGUCCAUUUAACCCAUUUACAUUCAUAUUUAGUAUUGAUAUGUAUGGACUUAUUUCUGUCAUCAUGUUGUUAGCUGAUUAUCAUGCAGACUUGUUUAUAUGGUUGCUUUAUAGUGUUGCUGGUCUACAUACUUAAGUGUGAUUUUAUGGUGGCCAGUAAGUCUUUCCUUUCCAUGUUUUGCACUCCCUUCAGGGCUUCUUGUAAGGUAAGUGUGGUGAUAAUAAAAAUCCCUUAGCAUUUUCUUGUCUGAACAUGAUCUUAUUUCUCCCUCAUUUAUGAAGCUUAGUUGCCUGGAUAUAAAACUCUUGGUUGGAACUUAUUUUCUUUAAGAAUGUUGAAUAUCGGACUCCAUUCUCUUCUGGCUUGUUAGGGUUUCUCCUGAAA